CUUUACACCAAACAGAAAGUAAAUGUUUCAUUUGUUAAAUGGGCUGGUGGAAAACACUGCCUUUUUCUACCGCCUUCGGUUUCCUUCUGGGGGAAAAGGUUUUACCCUUAUGUGACUGAAAGUGCAUAAAAUGGAUUUGACGCUGCAGAUUUAAGUGUCUUGAAUGAAGACUGUUAUGCUGGGCAUGCAUUUUGCUGAGUCAAGAAGGACGUAAGUGACUCACUGGGCUGUGUGGGAACCAGGACCAGAAUCCAAUUGGUGCACUAACCAGACAACCACGUCAGCCCAGAGAAACGCCUCAAUUCCAAAUGAGCCACCAGGAGCAGCUGCUGCCUAAUGGCACUUCAGCUUACCUCUAGUUCUCCUGGUCUGUUCUCUGACAUCCUGGAAGAGGUUGGUCUUCAUCUAGAACCAGAACCUCUAAUUCAAUCUCAUUUGAAGAGGAGGAAGCAAUGCAGGUGGCAACUGUCCUGAGAAAAUGGAUUGUAGACAGAGAUGUGCAGAUGUUAUUGUCCUGUUUCCUUGCAGCAGGCAAGUUACUUUUACAUGUUCUUAUUCUUUUCCCUUUAUUGAAGCUGUUAAAUACUAGGUUAUCAUAUUCUCCUGGUACAAAACUACAGGAUUGGAUUGUGUAAUAUUUGGCUUCAAUUAAGUCACUUAAUUUCUGUUUCUUCAUUUCCUAUCUGAAGAGAGAGAUGGCUUUAUUUUCUCUCUUCUCAUUUCAAGCUUAUUUGGGAUUCUUUUAGUGUUUGUAGGGGGAAUAGCUGUAGUUAUAACAGCUUAUGUAGUUAUAUACCCUUGUACCUAAAAGUCCAUGCUUACAAAUAACAGUAACACUGCUGUACUCUGUAGCCAUUUCUUCUGAGCAGGAAAGCCAACACAAGAAAGUGGGACUUUGCUUGAGUGAGGUGAGGCCAUGGAGUAAGUAGAGUCGUCGUCCAAGUCUGACACAUUCAGU
ensembl:lncRNA